UUCGUUUGAACCGCCUUGACGGUCACCUCGGAUCGUUGUAUUGGUGGCUAUUGAACAGCCUAGACGGCGCGAGCUGCGCUGUGGCUAUUGCUUGAUCGAUCAACGACGAAAGUCGAGGUUGUUAGAGCACAACAAAAUAUCAAGGGAAUUGAUGUCACUGAUCUCUUGCCUUAGUCUUGCAAUGCUAAUGUGUCUCAUAACAACCUGGCUAGAGAUAGUCCCACAUGUGAUGACUUCUCAAGGUUUUUCCCUGACAGGUUGCCUCACCUCCAAUGCCUCAUGUGUACUAGAAACAAGAUGGGACACUCUCAUUUUAAAGUUUAAUGCAAGAACAUGUGCUUUCCUAUGAAGAACCUUUUUUUUUUGGAAGUCAAUUAUGUAAAUAUAAUUAUUCCAUAUCGGUAGCAUUCAAUAUUAUAGCCUUGAUUGCAUUCAUUAAGGGUAUGUAUUUGUACUAUGAGUUGUUCAUGAUUGAUGAACAUAGGUAAUGACGUGCGUAUUGAUUUGAAAUGAAUUGGAUUCUUUUUCUACAGUCUAAUGUGUUGGAUGUUUGGUUUGCUUGAUAUUUCCAUUUGCUUUGUUUUGCAGGAAAUCAAGGAUUCAGUUUUGGGUUAGCCCUGAGGGUUCAGUUCAUAUUUAGCUUCUCCUCAACAUCAAUAAUAUCAAAUGCUGGGUAAAGUUUUUUUUUUUUCCUUUUCAAAUUUGGCUACAAUAUUGCUCAUUGUUUGUUGUACAUUCCUCAAUAUUUUUGCUCUGAAAUAUGUUGUUCUGUUUUUUUAUUUUAUUUUAAUUUUUUUGUAAUAGUAUUAUUGUAUAAUAUAUUGCUGCAUCUGUAUUAUCUCCAACCAAGUCAUUAUCCUUACCUGGGAAUUUGGGGGACUUGUGGAGGGAACCAAUGCCAAGCGCUUUAAUUAGCCUUGCGUGUGCGUUCUCAUAUCAUAAACUUACCCCAGAACGCAUCCCAACCGGACACGUGGACGCACGUGUGCGCCUCGAUUCUAUGCACGCUUCUAGAAGAUUCCUUUCGUGCCAGGCUGUCAACAGCCAUGAAGAUAAUCUACCUCGCUCAACCUCUAUAAAUAGGCAUCUAGCCUCACAAAUAAAGGUAACUAACUCAUUCCCCCAUUUUGAGUUACAAAUUGUCUACUAAGAUGUCUAACUUGAGCGUUAGAGGGCAAUUGUCCGGAGCAAUCCGGACAUUCCCUCAACCUCUUUGUUCGCUUCGUAGGUCUAGUGAACAAUCUCUUGACGGAUAAAUCCCAAUUUGCAUGGAUCUCUCUGUGCGCAUUCCUUUUUAGCCCCUAACCAGAUUUUCAUCCUCAACAUCUGUUGUUCCUUUGUUUGGGCCUUUGGCCCCAUGUAUCCAAAAAAAAAAGUAUUGAGUGCGCGUUGCUCUUAUUCUUGGCUAUACCGAUAUACUCACAGAUAAUCAAACCC